ACUUCGGGAAACCGGAGCUAAUACCGGAUAAUAUUUUGAACCGCAUGGUUCAAAAGUGAAAGACGGUCUUGCUGUCACUUAUAGAUGGAUCCGCGCUGCAUUAGCUAGUUGGUAAGGUAACGGCUUACCAAGGCAACGAUGCAUAGCCGACCUGAGAGGGUGAUCGGCCACACUGGAACUGAGACACGGUCCAGACUCCUACGGGAGGCAGCAGUAGGGAAUCUUCCGCAAUGGGCGAAAGCCUGACGGAGCAACGCCGCGUGAGU
rnacentral:rRNA from 1 species